rnacentral:rRNA from 1 species
AACGCGAAGAACCUUACCCAGUCUUGACAUGCAGUGGACAGCUCUAGAAAUAGAGUCUCCCUUCGGGGCCGCUGCACAGGUGCUGCAUGGCUGUCGUCAGCUCGUGCCGUGAGGUGUUGGGUUAAGUCCCGCAACGAGCGCAACCCUUAUCAUUAGUUGCCAACACGUAAUGGUGGGAACUCUAAUGAGACUGCCUGGGUUAACCAGGAGGAAGGUGAGGAUGACGUCAAGUCCGCAUGGCCCUUAUGACUGGGGCUACACACGUGCUACAAUGGUCGGUACAGAAGGCAGCGAAACCGCGAGGUGAAGCAAAUCCCAAAAACCGAUCCCAGUUCAGAUUGUAGUCUGCAACUCGACUACAUGAAGAUGGAAUUGCUAGUAAUGGCGAGUCAGCAACAUCGCCGUGAAUACGUUCCCGGGCCUUGUACACACCGACGUAUA